rnacentral:rRNA from 1 species
GACGAACGCUGGCGGCGUGCCUAAUACAUGCAAGUUGAGCGAUGAAGAUUGGUGCUUGCACCAAUUUGAAGAGCAGCGAACGGGUGAGUAACGCGUGGGGAAUCUGCCUUUGAGCGGGGGACAACAUUUGGAAACGAAUGCUAAUACCGCAUAACAACUUUAAACAUAAGUUUUAAGUUUGAAAGAUGCAAUUGCAUCACUCAAAGAUGAUCCCGCGUUGUAUUAGCUAGUUGGUGAGGUAAAGGCUCACCAAGGCGAUGAUACAUAGCCGACCUGAGAGGGUGAUCGCCCCAAUUGAGCGUGGAAAACGCCCAAAACCCCUCCGGGGGGCAGACGUAGGGAACUUUCGGAAAUGGAGGAAAGUCUGCCCGAGCAACCCCGGGGGGGGGAAGAAGUUUUUCGGAUCGAAAAACUCUUUUGGUAAGAAAAAACUUGGGGGGAAGGGAAAACCCCAAAAAGUAACGGAAACUCCCAAAAAAGGGACGGCAAACUCCGU